AGAAAUUCUGAUGAUUUAAAAAAAUUUCUUAUCUUCUUUCCAGUAAAACUUGCCACUGUACCAGUAGAUUACUUUCUUAGCUUCAUUGUAUUUUUUGACAUGCUCUCUCAUUAUUCCUUUUGUGUAUAAUUACUAUCCUGGAUGAACAGAAUUGAUAUAUUUAAAUUUUUUUUAAUUUCUCAACAUGUAUAAGGGCAUUCGGGAUAGUGAUUUGAAAGCCAGAGUCUCAUUUUGCAAUCUAUUAAUCAACUCACCUUUUCCCCUGUUCAAUACAAUUUAUGAUAGUGUCUGUGUGUUGUACAGGCGCAAAAGAUUCUAGGAAAAGAACCUCUAACAUAUGGCUAAGUUGCCUGUGACUAGAGCUUUUUCUGAGUUGUAUUAUUAGUUGAUGCCAGUCUGUUCAAAAUCAGCUCAGUGGUUAAGAGAGGAGGGUCUGGAACGUGACUUCUUGAUUCCAGUUCGGGGUCUACUAUUUACGUGCCAUGUGACUGUCAGCAGCUUAACUUCUCAGUUUUCUCAUUUGUCAAAUGGGGGGAAAUAUAGUCCCUACUUUGUAGUAUCUGCUUCAUGAGAUCAAAUGAAUUGCCACCUGUAAAGAGGUUAGAACUUUACUUGACACAUGCGUGGUAAGGACUCGUGGUGAAACGGCAACAUACAUACACAAAAGUCAGUAUCUGAAGCAUCUGAUCUGCAUUGAAUACAUGUGUUAAGUAUAAUGUCGUGGUUGGCUCUGAUGUAUCCUGUAGACAAACAGGGUAUUAUUUAAAUUGACCUUCUUCUGUUUUAUAGAUUUCAUUGUUCAGAAAACGAACUGUGGAGUUCACACAAGCUUGAUCUCUUUCCAAAGUGCCCUAAUGCUUCUUAUAUUUUUGUAUUAAUUUAUUAAGAACAACUAUGUUUUAAUACUCUUACUAAAUUGCCUGUUUCAAGUCUUUGGGUGAUUUAAGCGAUCUGCUUUUUAUUCUCCGUUGCUCUUUCCCUUUUCUUUAAAUUGAUAAUAUUAUUUAAGCUCAUUAUAAGCUAAAGUAUGUAAACGUUCUUUAAAUUACUCAAUGGUUCCAUCUUUUACUAAAAUAUUUGACCAUUACGUCCUGGUUUUUUUUUUAAAUAGUUUUUACAAAUAUUUGUAUAUUGCCAAUAAAAUAUUCUAAAUGCUGUAACAGCAAAUGUAGAAAAAAUAUAACUUUCUCUUCAGAUUUUUUCAGAAAGUUUUUAAGACUGUGGUUUAGAGCCCAGCAAAAACAAACAGAAAUUCUAAAUCAUAUGAAGUGAAUUAAGGUGGCACAGAUGCUUCAGGAAAACCACUCUGGAAAAAAGAGUAAACCACCAGUCUUGUGUACUUUCUUAUGUUUUUUCCAGCUCUCCUUUGGAAUUGGAGCAUUAUCAAUUUACUUUCCAAAGCCAGUGCUUUGGGGCUUAAUAGGUGAGAGGAGGUGGAGCGUGAUGAGUUUACAAGAGGCUCUCCCGUGGCUAGCAUCAGUUUUUUUAAAUACUUUUUGGUAAAAUAAUUGGCCAUGAUAUUUUUAAUAGGAUGAAAUGUGCUGAAAUGUAGGAGAGAAUAUUUGUUUUGUAUUUCAUUGGGGUUUUGCAGCAAAUCUAAUUCUUCUAUUUCUGAAUCGGGAAAUUCAUGUGAACCCCUAAGAAAAACUUUGCCUUUUUCAUGUGCUCUUAAAACCACUCCAUUUGCCUUAUUUUGGAAGCUGUGAAGGAUGAGAGCUAACUUUAUACAUUCCUGCUUAUUCUCCCAAUAUCAUACAGAUUUAAUUAAAAAUUUGAUGUGAAUGAUUGAAGGUGAUAAUGUACCUUCACCUGGUGAUCCUUUGUGCUUGCCUAUCAAAGGAUUUAUUCACAUCUUUUAGUGUUGGGUAUGUAUGAUACAUUUUAGUUUACAAGAAGAAUGUGAUUGUAAGCAAAUGCUGAUAAUUGCUUUUUGAUUGAAGUUAUACCUUCAUAAUUCAAUUAGUGUUUUCCUUCUCUGCUAUCCAGCUCUUACGAUACUCGUGAGACCAACAAAGCGCUUAAUGUUAGGUUUCAAAAUGUAAGUGAAUGACGAUGCCACAGAAGGAAGACCUUCUGGUAAUUUAUAAAAGGACAUGCAUGUAUAACACUGACAGUUUUGCUUGUGAUGCUAGUUACCAUUGGCUAGCUGACUUAGCCAAAGAAGAGUUA